GACGAACGCUGGCGGCGUGCUUAACACAUGCAAGUCGAACGGUAAGGCCCUGCUUUUGUGGGGUGCACGAGUGGCGAACGGGUGAGUAACACGUGAGUAACAUGCCCUUGAUUUUGGGAUAUAUUCAGGAAACUGGCGCUAAUACCGGAUAGGAGCUCCUGCUGCAUGGUGGGGAUUGGAAAGUUUCGGUGGUUGGGGUGUGACUCGCGCCUUAUUAGCUUGUUGGUGGGGUGGUGGCUUACGAAGGCUUAGACGGGUAGCCGUACUGGGAGGGUGAGCGGCUACAGUGGGAUUGGGAUUGGGCCCCGACUCAGACGGGAGCGAGCGGUGGGAGAGAUUACACAUGGGCCGGAAGCCUGAUGCAGCAACGCCGCGGGCGGGAUGAUGGGCAGCCGGUUGUAUUCCGCUUACGCCUGUGAUAAAGAGAGAGUGACGGUAAUGGGUGAAGAAGCACCGGCUAACUACGUG
rnacentral:rRNA from 1 species